UGCACUAUGGCACCACCCAGCUGCCUCUUAAUGUGAAGCGUUUUCUCUGUGCCAUGAAAUCCUGGCCAAAGUGCGGAAAUCAGGCUGUAUAAAAUGAAUGUGGUCAGAUAAUAGAGGGACUCCUGAGGUCCAUGCAUUGGUAUUUGUGAUGGGGGACAGGAAAAGUGUGCACUGGAAACUAGCACAGCUGAGUUCUAGUCUUGGCUCUGUUAAUUACUUGCUUUGGGGCCUUGGACAAGCAACUUUAACUUUUCUAGGACUUAGUUUUCUCAUCAGCAAAAUGGAAAAUAAAUCCCUUAUCUAAAAUAACAAUAAUCCUUCCUCUCCCUAUUUCACAGGGUUGUUACAAGUCUCAGAGGAGAUAAGAGGGCACAGGAACUUCAGCUCAGCAUUGAUACACCGGUGAGCAAAGAAUGACUGUCAGGACACAAGCAGAGGUGGCUGAGACAAGGACUCAUCUGGUGGUGAUGUCACUUUUGGAUAUGAACUUGGUGGGACCAAUGCUAUGUAGGAACUGUGCUAAAAGUGAGUCCACUCUCCUCAGAGAUUGAGGGACUAUCACGCGGAAGGAUCAGGCCUUUUCCUUUCAGUGGAGUGUGUGGAACCAGCAGCAGUGGGCAAAAUGUGCAGAAGUAAAUAUAGGCCUGAUGAAAGGAAAGUCUUUCUAACAAUGAGAAGAAUGGUAAACAGUGCUUCAAGUCAAGGCUGCAUGACCUGGUGAGGAUUUUUGUUCAGUUACUGGUUGAACUGGCCUACUGUGGUCCCUUCCAGCUCAAGAUUCAGAGAUUAUAUUACGAAUCAGGAUUCUAGAGGGCCCUGAAAGGUGGGACUCACCAGACACAUGGGUUGUUUGACUCUAUGGCAACCCCAAGAACAUUCCAUUUCUGGAUGGGUUGAGAUAGGGAAAGGGAAGAUACCCAAGGUAGUACUACAAAGAGUGUCCAUAAAGCAUUAAAAAAAAGUGGGCUGGAGGUAUUUUAAUUCAAUAACACAAUUUCCUUUUCAAUGUUCAAAGGAGAGGAGGCCAUUUAGAAAAAAAAAACAACUAAAUUUAUUGUCAUAAUCUUUAUUAUGUAUGAAAUUGUCUUCAAUAUAAGUUACAUCCUGAUUAAAUCUGAGAUAAGACAUUUUUUAUCUGUUUAAAGGCUAACAUGGUCCUUUAUUCUGUACAAUAUCUUUAACUAGAGUCUAGCAAAUAUAGUACCUUUCAUUGCAGGAUUUCUUUAACCGUAAAAGCAAAAACCAAAAAACC